rnacentral:rRNA from 1 species
GUGGGGAAUAUUGGACAUUGGGCGAAAGCCUGAUCCAGCCAUGCCGCGUGUGUGAAGAAGGUCUUCGGAUUGUAAAGCACUUUAAGUUGGGAGGAAGGGCAGUAAGUUAAUACCUUGCUGUUUUGACGUUACCGACAGAAUAAGCACCGGCUAACUUCGUGCCAGCAGCCGCGGUAAUACGAAGGGUGCAAGCGUUAAUCGGAAUUACUGGGCGUAAAGCGCGCGUAGGUGGUUUUGUAAGUUGGAGGUGAAAUCCCCGGGCUCAACCUGGGAACUGCCUCCAAAACUGCAUGACUAGAGUACGGUAGAGGGUAGUGGAAUUUCCUGUGUAGCGGUGAAAUGCGUAGAUAUAGGAAGGAACACCAGUGGCGAAGGCGACUACCUGGACUGAUACUGACACUGAGGUGCGAAAGCGUGGGGAGCAAACAGGAUUAGAAACCCGGGUAGUCC